rnacentral:tRNA from 1 species
GGAUAGGUGGCCGAGUGGCUGAAGGCGCGCCCCUGCUAAGGGCGUAACGGGGAAACCUGUUCGAGGGUUCGAAUCCCUCCCUGUCCG